AGGUUGAUCCUGGCUCAGGAUCAACGCUAGCUAUAUGCUUAACACAUGCCAGUCGAGGGGUAACAUGAUCAAAGCUUGCUUUGAUUGAUGACCACCGGCGGAUGGGUGAGUAACACCUAUCCAACCUACCGUAUACACGGGGAUACCCUUUCAAAAGAAAGAUUAACACCCGAUGUUGUAAUGAGAUCUCCUGAUUUUAUUACUAAAGAUUUAUCGGUAAUGGAUGGGGAUGCCUCUGAUUAGCUUGUUGGCGGGGUAACCCCCCACCAACGCAACAAUCAGUGGGGGUUCUGAGAGGAAGGUCCCCCACAUUGGAACUGACACACGGUCCAAACUCCUACGGGAGGCAGCAGUGAGGAAUAUUGGUCAAUGGGCGGAAGCCUGAACCAGCCAAGUAGCGUGCAGGAUGACGGCCCUAUGGGUUGUAAACUGCUUUUAUGCGGGGAUAAAGUUGGGGACGCGUCCCUUUUUGCAGGUACCGCAUGAAUAACGACCGGCUAAUUCCGUGCCACCACCCGCGGUAAUACGGAAGGUCCGGGCGUUAUCCGGAUUUAUUGGGUUUAAAGGGACCGUAGGCCGGCUUUUAAGCGUGUAGUGAAAUGCCCGCGGCUUCAACCGUGGCCCUGCAGCGCGAACUGGAGGCCCUUUGAGUGCCCGGGAGGAAGGCGAAAUUCGUGGUGUAGCGGUGAAAUGCUUAAAUAUCACAAAAAACUCCUAAUGCAAAGGCACCUAACCCUAACCUUUCCUGACCCCGAAACUCAAAAGUGCCGG
rnacentral:rRNA from 1 species